AUCGAGAUGACGAGUCCCAAAUAGGACGAAUCUCGCUUCCUGGAU
rnacentral:hammerhead_ribozyme from 1 species